rnacentral:lncRNA from 1 species
AACCACUUUGGGUAGAACUCGGAAGGGUGUCCAAAGUGCUUAUAGAUUGUUACAAAUUAGGAACGCAUAAACACAUGGGGGUGUUUGCUGGUAAUUUUAAGCCCAUUAAAAUAAAUUUUUGACCGUUAUUUCAGCAUUUCAGCGUCAUUUUUGAAUUUUCGUAGUUCUACUUUUAUCUCUAAUGAUCAAAAAAAUCAAUUCUCAAAAUCCAUACCAAACACCCUCAUACAUAGAUGGAAUUACAAAAACCCUAGGACAAAAUUAGCAAGAACAUAUGCAAAGAGUAAUUAAGAAUACAGAUACCUGCAUGAAAUUGUAGCGUUCCCUCCCAAUUGAUUCAUUUUCUGCUACAGCAAAGUAUGCUAACA